AACCUGGUUGAUCCUGCCAGUCUACAAAGCUUGACUUGGAAAUUAAGCCAUGCAUGUCUGAGUAUAAGUUACACAAAGCGGAACUGCAAAUGGCUCAUUACAACAGUUGUAAUUUGUUUGAUGAUUUUCUUACAUGGAUAACCGUGGGAAACUAGGGCUAAUACAUGCGUAAAGCCGUCAGGCUGUAUUUAUUAGUUUCAAACCAAUGCGGGGCAACUCGCUUGUGAGGAAUCAAAAUAACUGAUCGAAGCCAAUCAUUUGGCUAAAUCAUUCGAGCUUCUGACCUAUCAGCUUGUUGUUAGUGUAUUGGACUAACAAGGCGGUAACAGGUAACGGAGAAUUGGGGUUCGAUUCCGGAGAGUCAGCCUGAGAAACGGCUGACAUUUCUACGGAAGGCAGCAGGCGUGAAAAUUACCCAAUCACAAUUCGUGGAGGUAGUUAAUAGACAUAACAGUCCCGGCCUUUUAGGUUUGGGAAUGUAAUGAGCUCAGUCUAGACAGCUGGGCGAAAUCCAUUGGAGGGCAAGUCUGGUGCCAGCAGCCGCGGUAAUUCCAGCUCCAAUAGCUUUGUUGAAAGUUGCUGCAGUUAAAAAGCUCGUAGUUGAAUAUCCGGCGUCUCUGACGUCUGCCCGACUCGGCUGUAGAUGCUGAAAGGCUUUUACUGAUCGAUCAGGCGUUUACUGUGAACAAAUUAGAGUGCUCAAAACAGGCCUUUGCUUGGAUUUUCUAGCGUGGAAUAAUAAAAUACGACUUCGCUCAUUUUAUUGGUUCUUGAACGAAGUAAUGGUUAACAGGAACAGUUGGGGGCAUUCGUACUUCAAAGUCAGAGGUGAAAUUCUUAGAUUUUUGAAAGACGAACUAAUGCGAAGGCAUUUGCCAAGGAUGUUUUCAUUAAUCAAGAACGAAAGCGUUGGGAUCAAAAAGGAUCAGAUACCCUUGUAGUCAACGCCGUAAACGAUACUGACUAGGGAUUGGUGAGGCACACCCUCAUCAGCACCUAAUGAGAAAUCAAAGUCUUUGAGUUCUGGGGAGAGUAUGGUCGCAAGGCUGAAACUUAAAGGAAUUGACGGAAAGAUACACAAGUCGUGGAUUCUGCGGCUUAAUUUGAUUCAACACGGGAAAACUUACGCAGGCAAAAAGCUAAAAGGAUUGACAGCUUGGUAGCACUUUCUUGAUAUGGCAGCGAGUGGUGCAUGGCCGUUCUUAGUUGGUGGAGUGAUUUGUCAGGUUAAUUCCCUUAACGAACGAGAUCUUCACUUGCUAACUAGUCGCAGCUAAAACCUAGCUGUAGACUUCUUAGAAGGACUACGAUUCUAAAAUCGUGGAAGUUGGAGGCAAUAACAGGUCCGUGAUGCCCUCAGAUGUUUGCGGCCGCACGCGUAAUACCAUGAUUGGCACAAUAAGUUCACCUAAUCCGAAAGGAGCUGGGUAAUCUUGAUAAUGCCAAUCGUGCUUGGGAUAGAACCUUGCAAUUGUGGUUCUUGAACGAGGAAUGACUAGUAAGCUGAAGUCACUAACCUCAGCUGAUUACUGUCCCUAUCUUUUGUACACACCGCCCGCCGCACCCAUCGAUUGAGUGUGUCGACGAGUUCUCCGGAUUGCGUCCCUUGGAUGUCGAAAAGUUGUUCAAGUUGAUACACUUAGAGAAGGGUUAAGGCGUAACAAGGUUUCUGUAGGAGAACCUGCAGAAGGAUCAUUAUCGCCAAUUAUACACCUGGGUUGGCUUCGGCCGGCCUGGAAAAACUUAAAAAAACUAACAAAAUGAAAAUUUUCAACGGUGGAUAUCUCGGUUCCCACAUCGAGGAAGAACGCAGCGAACUGCGAUACGCAAUGUGAAUUGCAGGACCCGCGAGUCAUCAGAUCUUUGAACGCAUUUAGCACGAGAGGGAGACUCCCACUCGUAUGUGUGUCUCAGUGUUGAACCUAUUACUCCAAGUGUGGUUGAACGACGUUCUCCCACGAAAUAGGAGCGGCCUGCGACCGGCCACGUGAAGUAGUCUCCGCUUCGGCGGCGAUCUCACGCGAACCGGUCGAGAGGUCGCAGAGCCCUCGCGCUUUGAAAAUAAAUUAAACCUGAGACAGGCAGGACUACCCGCUGAACUUAAGCAUAUCAGUAAGCGGAGGAAAAGAAACUAAC
rnacentral:rRNA from 1 species